UGCAACCUCCUUCAGGCUCAAGCCAUCCCCAAGCCUCAGCCUCCCAAGUAGCUGGGACCACAGCACCACUGGGUUAGGGUCUCCCUGACUGAGCUGGUCUCGGCAAGUGGCGUACCUUCAUGGGGGCUCGAAUCCAGGUUGAAGGGUCACCGGAGCGACAGUUGGAAUGGAAAACUAGCUGGAGGACACCCAAGUACUCUUAAAGCAAUCCCUGUGGAGGAGUUAAUCUUCAAGGAUUGGAACCUAACUCGGUUUGGCAAAUGGAUGUCACACAUGUUCCCUCGUUUGGGAGACUAGCUUAUGUACAUGUAUGUGUGGGCACCUUUUCUC
rnacentral:lncRNA from 1 species